CUGCUGCUGGUGGGCAUCUUCGGCACUUCGCUCUUCUAUGGCGACGGCGUCAUCACGCCGGCCAUCUCGGUGCUUUCCGCGGUCGAAGGCC
rnacentral:tRNA from 1 species